rnacentral:rRNA from 1 species
UACGAAGGUGUCUAGCGUUGUUCGGAAUCACUGGGCGUAAAGCGCGCGCAGGCGGACUACCAAGUCUGAGGUGAAAGCCCGAAGCUCAACUUCGGAAUUGCCUUGGAAACUGGUAGUCUAGAGUGCAAUAGGGGGUAGCGGAAUUCCAAAUGUAGAGGUGAAAUUCGUAGAUAUUUGGAGGAACACCGGUGGCGAAGGCGGCUACCUGGAUUGCAACUGACGCUGAGGCGCGAAAGCGUGGGGAUCAAACAGG